CCCCCUCUCCCUCCCUCGCCCGUUGGAAUCCGUGGUCGGAGAGCCAUUUACGUUCAGUUACUUUAUUCUCGGGAACGAGGGGACCCCCGUUUUGGGGCUAGCUGGAUCACAAAAAGAGAUAAAGAUUAAGUAACUUGCCUAAAAUUACAUGCCCAUUAAGUACAUGAGGCUGGAUUUGAACUUCCUUCUUCCUGAUUCCAGAUCCAGGACUCAAGUGGUACUUUCUGUCAUGAAUGAGAAGUAAUCCAAUGUAUGUUCAACAUGUGCAAUUUCUCAUACGUAUUUUUCCACAAUUAUCAUGCUGCCCAAGAGAAAUCAGAUCAAAAGUUUCAUUCAAGAUUUGCCACAAGAAAAGAAUAUUUUUCAGGACAAUGAAUUAGCAUGAAGAAAAAUUCCUCAGAAAAAUUCUUAAAACAAGGCUUGAAGUUGGUUUCAGAAGAAGCAUAAGGAGAUAAUAAGGAAAGAGAAAUGGGACUUAAUGAAAUUUAUCUGCUUAUAUUCCUCCAUGGGAGGAUGAUACUUGUAAUUUAUAAGAACUUUUGCAUUAUUAUGGCCGUUAGAAGGAGUAUAUAUAAACAGAGGAGCCCAGCUGGUACUAGAAAAACACACAAUUGGAAGCGAUGGGAAGUUUUCUUGAAUAAUGGAAAGGACUGAAAAAAAGAGAAUUUAAAAUGCCAAUUUGAGGACUGUCUUCUAUGAGAUUUCAGGUUUGUGAAUUCUUUUGCAUCGGACCUGUGUGACCAGAGGGGAUUUCCCACCCCAAUUCUCAACCACUAUCCUCAUCUUUUACACCUCAUCAAUAGGACUCAUUCCUCUUUGAGAUUGGGUUUCCAGCUAAGGAAGAUUGCAUUUGGCAAAUUAGGAUGAAAGUAAUCAAUAUCAGCUAAGAAACAAAUGACAACACCAGAAAGCUUGAUUAUUCACCAAUUUGGCUAAUCUACUGGGAGAAAUCUUGACUACAUUGGUAGAAGACUAAGUGAAAGCAUCCUAGGUAGAACUAUCCUUGUCACUUGUCAGCACAUUUUAAUGAAAUGCCAGUCUUUUCUACCAAAUCCUGAAGAAAAACCUCUGGGUACCGAUUGAUGAAAUGAUUUUCCUCCCAAAUGGAGCCUAAACUUAAAAUAAAGCACCUCCCAUUUUGCAAAGCACAGCAGUCUGCAAGUUCAAGAGAGGGCAGAAAAGUGAUUCUCAGCCUACUCCACUUUGGAUAUGCUUCUUUGCUUGGUUUCAACUCCACAGAACAAGAUGACUGUGUAUUAAGUAAUCCCUGCUGGCUCCCCAUCCCUGAUUUCCCGCUUCCUUUUUUGGGUUGUCUCCACCCUUAGAGUUGUAAGUCUUUGAGGGCAGGGGUUGUCUUUCUUUUUAUUAAUUGUAUUACCAGCACAUAGUAGAUGCUUAAUAAAAUUGUAUUAUGUAUAUAAAAGAGGUGGAUUAGUUCUUUUUGUGGUGG
rnacentral:lncRNA from 1 species